GGCCUCGUGGCACAAUGGUAGCGCGUCUGACUCCAGAUCAGAAGGCUGGGUGUUCGAGUCACUCCGGGGUCA
rnacentral:tRNA from 2 species